GGGAAGGUAGCUCAGUGGUAGAGUGCUUGCCUUGUAUGCAUGAGGCACUGGAUUCAAUUCCGCAGCUCCA
rnacentral:tRNA from 1 species